GACGAACGCUGGCGGCGUGCUUAACACAUGCAAGUCGAACGGAAAGGCCCUGCUUUUGUGGGGUGCUCGAGUGGCGAACGGGUGAGUAACACGUGAGUAACCUGCCCUUGACUUUGGGAUAACUUCAGGAAACUGGGGCUAAUACCGGAUAGGAGCUCCUGCUGCAUGGUGGGGGUUGGAAAGUUUCGGCGGUUGGGGAUGGACUCGCGGCUUAUCAGCUUGUUGGUGGGGUAGUGGCAUACCAAGGCUUUGACGGGUAGCCGGCCUGAGAGGGUGACCGGGGACAUGGGGACUGAGAUACGGCCCAGACUCCUACGGGAGGCAGCAGUGGGGAAUCUGGCACAGUGGGCGGAAGCCUGAUGCAGCAACGCCGCGUGCGGGAUGACGGCCUUCGGGUUGUAAACCGCUGUCGACUGUGACGAAGAGUGAGUGACGGUAAUGGGUAAAGAAGCACCGGCUAACUACGUG
rnacentral:rRNA from 1 species